GACAUGGUUUGAUGUGUGUUCGGUACCACAUAACAUGCGAGAAUACCUUCUCCGGUAUGUUGGAGAGAAGAUUAGCAAGAAAAAAUCGCGUGAGAAAAUGAGAAGUUGACAGAAAAAGAUUUUUUUCAUUAUCGAAAGGGACAUGUACAACAUCCAUAAUGGUGUGUCUGAUGGAAUUCGUCAUUUCAUUAAUAAAUAAUGCUGAUAAAGAUGCAAACUUAGCAAUUGUGCCUAAAAAGUGCCAGCUUUGACAAGGAAA